AUGCAUGUCUAAGUACAAGCCAGUCUAAGGUGAAACCGCGAAUGGCUCAUUAAAUCACACCUGAUGUACCGGACAGUUCCACUUACUUGGAUAACUGCGGUAAUUCUGGAGCUAAUACAUGCCUAAAAGCCCUGACUCACGGAGGGGCGCUUUUAUUAGAUCAAAACCAAACGGCUUGCCGUUUUCUUGGUGAUUCUGAAUAACUUUUUGCUGAUCGUAUGGCUCUACGCCGACGACGUGUCCGUCCAAGGUGUGCCCUAUCAACUGUCGACUGUGGCAUAGACGCCCACAGUGGUUUUGACGGGUAACGGGGAAUUAGGGUUCGAUUCCGGAGAGGGAGCCUGAGAAACGGCUACCACU
rnacentral:rRNA from 6 species